rnacentral:miRNA from 10 species
AACCACAGCCAAUGGAACGGGCUUGGCAGAAUCAGCAUGGAAAGAAGACCCUGUUGAGCUUGAGUGUUGAGCUAGGCCUACU